rnacentral:rRNA from 1 species
AUGAACGCUAGCUACAGGCUUAACACAUGCAAGUCGAGGGGCAGCAUGGUCUUAGCUUGCUAAGGCCGAUGGCGACCGGCGCACGGGUGAGUAACACGUAUCCAACCUGCCGUCUACUCUUGGACAGCCUUCUGAAAGGAAGAUUAAUACAAGAUGGCAUCAUGAGUUCACAUGUUCACAUGAUUAAAGGUAUUCCGGUAGACGAUGGGGAUGCGUUCCAUUAGAUAGUAGGCGGGGUAACGGCCCACCUAGUCUUCGAUGGAUAGGGGUUCUGAGAGGAAGGUCCCCCACAUUGGAACUGAGACACGGUCCAAACUCCUACGGGAGGCAGCAGUGAGGAAUAUUGGUCAAUGGGCGAGAGCCUGAACCAGCCAAGUAGCGUGAAGGAUGACUGCCCUAUGGGUUGUAAACUUCUUUUAUAAAGGAAUAAAGUCGGGUAUGGAUACCCGUUUGCAUGUACUUUAUGAAUAAGGAUCGGCUAACUCCGUGCCAGCAGCCGCGGUAAUACGGAGGAUCCGAGCGUUAUCCGGAUUUAUUGGGUUUAAAGGGAGCGUAGAUGGAUGUUUAAGUCAGUUGUGAAAGUUUGCGGCUCAACCGUAAAAUUGCAGUUGAUACUGGAUAUCUUGAGUGCAGUUGAGGCAGGCGGAAUUCGUGGUGUAGCGGUGAAAUGCUUAGAUAUCACGAAGAACUCCGAUUGCGAAGGCAGCCUGCUAAGCUGCAACUGACAUUGAGGCUCGAAAGUGUGGGUAUCAAACAGGAUUAGAUACCCUGGUAGUCCACACGGUAAACGAUGAAUACUCGCUGUUUGCGAUAUACAGCAAGCGGCCAAGCGAAAGCGUUAAGUAUUCCACCUGGGGAGUACGACCGCAAGGUUGAAACUCAAAGGAAUUGACGGGGGCCCGCACAAGCGGUGGAUUAUGUGGUUUAAUUCGAAGCAACGCGAAGAACCUUACCAAGUCUUGACAUCCUCCUGACCGUUCCUUAACCGGAACUUUCCUUCGGGACAGCAGAGACAGGUGGUGCAUGGUUGUCGUCAGCUCGUGUCGUGAGAUGUUGGGUUAAGUCCCGCAACGAGCGCAACCCUUGCUAUUAGUUGCUACGCAAGAGCACUCUAAUAGGACUGCCGUUGACAAAACGGAGGAAGGUGGGGACGACGUCAAAUCAUCAUGCCCCUUAUGACCUGGGCUACACACGUACUACAAUGGCUAUAACAAAGAGAAGCGAGACAGUGAUGUGGAGCAAAACUCAAAAAAAUAGUCUCAGUUCGGAUUGAAGGCUGAAAUUCGCCUUCAUGAAGCUGGAAUUGCUAGUAAUGGCAGGUCAGCAUACUGCCGUGAAUACGUUCCCGGGCCUUGUACACACCGCCCGUCACACCAUGAGAGUCGGGAACACCCGAAGUCCGUAGCCUAACCUUUUAGGAGGGCGCGGCCGAAGGUGGGUUCGAUAAUUGGGGUG